GACGAACGCUGGCGGCGUGCCUAAUACAUGCAAGUAGAACGCACAGUUUAUACCGUAGUUUGCUACACCAUAGACUGUGAGUUGCGAACGGGUGAGUAACGCGUAGGUAACCUGCCUGGUAGCGGGGGAUAACUAUUGGAAACGAUAGCUAAUACCGCAUAAUAUUCAUUAUUGCAUGAUAAUUGAUUGAAAGAUGCAACUGCAUCACUACCAGACGGACCUGCGUUGUAUUAGCUAGUAGGUGAGGUAACGGCUCACCUAGGCGACGAUACAUAGCCGACCUGAGAGGGUGAUCGGCCACACUGGGACUGAGACACGGCCCAGACUCCUACGGGAGGCAGCAGCAGGGAAUCUUCGGCAAUGGACGAAAGUCUGACCGAGCAACGCCGCGUGAGUGAAGAAGGUUUUCGGAUCGUAAAGCUCUGUUGGAAGAGAAGAACGGGUGUGAGAGUGGAAAGUUCACACUGUGACGGUAUCUUACCAGAAAGGGACGGCUAACUACGUG
rnacentral:rRNA from 1 species